rfam:Malassezia globosa CBS 7966 mgl_sf_6.1, whole genome shotgun sequence.
GGCCGGUUAGCACAAUUGGUAGUGUGUCUGACUACGAAAGCCGUACGGGCUUUAGCUUAUCAGGAGGUUGCGGGUUCGAGCCCCGUGCUGGUCA